rnacentral:rRNA from 1 species
CCUACGGGAGGCAGCAGUGAGGAAUAUUGGUCAAUGGCCGGAAGGCUGAACCAGCCAAGCCGCGUGAAGGACGAAGGUUCCAAGCAUUGUAAACUUCUUUUGUCAAGGGACAAAAUCAGGCUCGAGAGCCUGACCGAGGGUACUUGAAGAAAAAGCAUCGGCUAACUCCGUGCCAGCAGCCGCGGUAAUACGGAGGAUGCGAGCGUUAUCCGGAUUUAUUGGGUUUAAAGGGUGCGUAGGCGGACUGUUAAGUCAGCGGUAAAAGCCCGGGGCUCAACCCCGGCGAGCCGUUGAAACUGGCUGUCGUGAGAGGGCGAGAGGUAUGCGGAAUGCGCAGUGUAGCGGUGAAAUGCUUAGAUAGUGCGCAGAACUCCGAUUGCGAAGGCAGCAUACCGGCGGAGAUCUGACGCUGAGGCACGAAAGCGUGGGUAUCGAACAGGAUUAGAUACCCUAGUAGUC